GAUGAACGCUGGCGGCGUGCCUAAUACAUGCAAGUCGAACGCACAGCGAAAGGUGCUUGCACCUUUCAAGUGAGUGGCGAACGGGUGAGUAACACGUGGACAACCUGCCUCAAGGCUGGGGAUAACAUUUGGAAACAGAUGCUAAUACCGAAUAAAACUUAGUGUCGCAUGACACAAAGUUAAAAGGUACGGCUUUGGUCGGUCACCUAAACGAUGGAUCGCGGUGCGAUUAG
rnacentral:rRNA from 1 species